rnacentral:rRNA from 1 species
GACGAACGCUGGCGGCGUGCUUAACACAUGCAAGUCGAACGAAGUGGCGAACGGGUGAGUAACGCGUAAUCAACCUGCCCUUCAGAGGGGGACAACAGUUGGAAACGACUGCUAAUACCGCAUACUGAAGGAGGGGAUUGCGUCUGAUUAGCUAGUGGGAGGGGUAACGGCCCACCAAGGCGAUGAUCAGUAGCCGGUCUGGAAGGGUGAACGGCCAAAUUUGGACUGGGGCACGGCCCAGACUCCUACGGGCGGCAGCAGUUGGGAAUCAUCCGAAAUGGACGAAAGGCUGACGGAGCAACGCCGCGUGAGUUAUGACGGCCUUCGGGUUGUAAAGCUCUGUUAAUCGGGACGCGGUACCGGAAUAGAAAGCCACGGCUAACUACGUGCCAGCCGCCGCGGUAAUAC